GUGGGGAAUAUUGCGCAAUGGGCGGAAGCCUGACGCAGCGACGCCGCGUGGGGGAUGAAGGCCUUCGGGUUGUAAACCUCUUUCAGCAGGGACGAACUCAGACGGUACCUGCAGAAGAAGCACCGGCCAACUACGUGCCAGCAGCCGCGGUAAUACGUAGGGUGCAAGCGUUGUCCGGAAUUAUUGGGCGUAAAGAGCUCGUAGGCGGUCUGUCGCGUCGGCUGUGAAAACUUGGGGCUCAACCCCAAGCCUGCAGUCGAUACGGGCAGACUAGAGUGCGGUAGGGGAGACUGGAAUUCCUGGUGUAGCGGUGAAAUGCGCAGAUAUCAGGAGGAACACCGGUGGCGAAGGCGGGUCUCUGGGCCGUAACUGACGCUGAGGAGCGAAAGCGUGGGGAGCGAACAGGAUUAGAUACCCUGGUAGUCCACGCCGUAAACGGUGGGUGCUAGGUGUAGGCGGUAUUCCACGCCGUCUGUGCCGCAGCUAACGCAUUAAGCACCCCGCCUGGGGAGUACGGCCGCAAGGC
rnacentral:rRNA from 1 species